rfam:Triticum aestivum genome assembly, contig: Triticum_aestivum_CS42_TGACv1_scaffold_032910_1BL
AUGCUAUUCCCUCCGUUCGAAAAUACUUGUCCUAAAAAUGGAUAAAUGGAUGUAUCUAUAACUAAAAUUAAGUUUAGAUAUAUCCAUUUUUAAGACAAGUAUUUUCAGACGAAGGGAGUGGUAG